CGGGACAUAGCACAGCUUGGUAGUGCGCCUGGUUCGGGACCAGGAGGUCAUGGGUUCAAGUCCCAUUGUUCCGACCA
rnacentral:tRNA from 1 species